UCUUUUCUUUUGAUAGGAGAGUUUUUAAAACCAGUGUUAUUUUUGUAAGUUUAAGAGAAGUUUGUGUAUUGAAUUUUUAAUAUUAAAGAGCUUUGUUAAACUUAGACUUAAGUUUAGGUCAUUUUGGGGGUUUAGCUCAGUUGGCUAGAGCAUCGGCUUUGCAAGCCGAGGGUCAAGGGUUCGAGUCCCUUAACCUCCAUUGGGCUUAUGUCCUAAAUUGUAAUUAAGUAUGUUUUUAAGCAACUUUAUUAAAGUAAUUGUUGGAAUGUGAAACAGAGGAAGUUAAAAUUUCUGGGUUAAGUUGAGAUCUGUUGAUAUUAAGAAGAAUCUCUAGAAGCAAAAGCAAGCUUUCGAUAAAACCCGAAGUUGUUUCGCUAAAGUGCAAGGAUUAAACAGGAUUGUAUUUUCCAGUAGCCUAUUUUAUAAACGAUCUGCAUUUAGUAAAUAGUUUUUAGUUAGGAAAUAAUGUAUAUUGCUAAGUGUGAUGUCUGAAAGAAGGACAAGUAUUGUAGCGAGCCUAAAUCCUUGUUAUCGUUGCCAGUAUUUAGUGGUAGGGAUUCGGAUAAGACUGCUAUUUAUAAGUUGGAGGAAGGCAAAGAUUGCAUCAAAUCGUUAUCGCUCUUAUGUUUUAGGUUACAAGUUUGCCACAAUAACC
rnacentral:tRNA from 1 species